UAACAAAUGGAAAUUAUUCAAUGUUGAUAAUACACAUUUUGUUAUAUCAUUUUAGAUUCACUUUUAAAAUAUCUGGGACCACCUGCUGCAUCAGUUGACAAGGAACAGCCAUGCAGCUCAGCUGUGCCGGCUUCCUCAGACCUAGAACCACAUGAAGGAAUGUCAGAACAGCAAGCUGCUCAUCCUGAUGAGAUGACCACUGAUUCCACCCUGCCACUGACCACUGUGCCUGUUUGUUCUGGCCCAGAACCACUGCAAGGAACGUCAGACCAGCCUGCUGCAUCUCAUCCUGAUUGCACCACAGAUUCCACCCAUACACUCUUCUCAGAUGCAGCAAAGACAGACGAUCCACUACCAACCGAUCCUGCUGACUGCCCUUCACAUCUCACAGACACAAUGAGGACAGAGUUUGUUCAGAGAGGAC